AAUCAACGCUGGCGGCGUGCCUAACACAUGCAAGUCGAACGCGAAAGUUCCGCAAGGAAUUAGUAGAGUGGCAAACGGGUGAGUAACACGUGGGUGACCUGCCUUCGAGUGGGGAUAACGUCCCGAAAGGGACGCUAAUACCGCAUAACAUCCCGCCUUUUAAGAGGUGGAAAUCAAAGCUGGGGAUCGCAAGACCUGGCGCUUGAAGAGGGGCCCGCGUCCGAUUAGCUAGUUGGUGGGGUAACGGCNC
rnacentral:rRNA from 1 species